rnacentral:rRNA from 1 species
AUUGAACGCUGGCGGCAUGCCUUACACAUGCAAGUCGAACGGCAGCACGGGAGCAAUCCUGGUGGCGAGUGGCGAACGGGUGAGUAAUAUAUCGGAACGUGACCAGACGUGGGGGAUAACGCAGCGAAAGCUGUGCUAAUAACGCAUACGAUCUAAGGAUGAAAGCGGGGGAUCGCAAGACCUCGCGCGAUGGGAGCGGCCGAUAUCAGCUUAGCUAGUUGGUGGGGUAAAGGCCCACCAAGGCGACGAUCUGUAGCUGGUCUGAGAGGACGACCAGCCACACUGGAUCUGAGACACGGUCCAGACGCCUACCGAAGGCAGCAGUGGGGUAUUUUGGACAAUGGGCGCAAGCCUGAUCCAGCAAUGCCGCUUGCAGGAUGAAGGCCUUCGGGUUGUAAACUGCUUUUGUACGGAACGAAACGGCCCUUUCUAAUACAGGGGGCUAAUGACGGUACCGUAAGAAUAAGCACCGGCUAACUACGUGCCAGCAGCCGCAGUAA